rnacentral:tRNA from 1 species
GAGAUAUUAUUGAUUAAGCCGCUAACUUAAAAUAAGGUUCUACCUAUAUCUCC